UACAGAGGUCUCAAGCGUUGUUCGGAUUCAUUGGGCGUAAAGGGUGCGUAGGCGGCGCGGUAAGUCGGGUGUGAAAUCUCGGAGCUUAACUCCGAACUGCAUUCGAUACUGCCGUGCUUGAGGACUGGAGAGGAGACUGGAAUUUACGGUGUAGCGGUGAAAUGCGUAGAUAUCGUAAGGAAGACCAGUGGCGGAAGGCGGGUCUCUGGACAGUUCCUGACGCUGAGGCACGAAGGCCAGGGAGCAAACGGG
rnacentral:rRNA from 1 species